UACGUGGGGGGCAAGCGUUGUUCGGAAUUACUGGGCGUAAAGGGCUCGUAGGCGGCCAACUAAGUCAGACGUGAAAUCCCUCGGCUUAACCGGGGAACUGCCUCUGAUACUGGAUGGCUUGAGAUUGGGAGAGGGAUGCGGAAUUCCAGGUGUAGCGGUGAAAUGCGUAGAUAUCUGGAGGAACACCGGUGGCGAAGGCGGCAUCCUGGACCAACACUGACGCUGAGGAGCGAAAGCCAGGGGAGCAAACGGG
rnacentral:rRNA from 1 species